rnacentral:tRNA from 2 species
GUUAUAAUAGUUUAAAUAAAACCUUGGUCUUGUAAAUCAAAAUUAGAUAAUCAAUCUUUAUAACU